AUUUUGGAGCAUUUUUGGGCUAAGAUUGGAUGGUGCAAACAUGGAGACAUGAGGAUGGACGUUUUGGGCUUUUGUGUGUGCAAGCGUGUGUGUGUGUAAUUGCAAGGAUAAACACAUGCAAAGAAGCCCACAUGCAAACUCAAGGCAAGAGAGGGAGAAACCACAUGCAAAGAAGCCCACAUGCAAAGUGAAGACAAAACUCAUGGCAAAGGUGAAGGAAUUGUGUGUGUUUUGUGAUUGAAAUGAUGAAGCAUGUGUGUGUAAAUGCAAAGGGGAUCUAAACAUGGACAGCACAUGUCAUGUGAAAAGGAGAAAACCAAAGAGAACACAAUCCACCCAUCCACCCUUCACCAUAACCCACCUAUAUCCAUC
rnacentral:lncRNA from 1 species